GAGUUGGUAUUUCAUAAGGAAACCAAACUCUAAUCUAUGUUUAAUCCUUUAUCAAUUUAUAGAAGUCUUCCGACUUAUAUCCAUAAAGGAAUAAGAAUGGAGG
rfam:Clostridium autoethanogenum DSM 10061, complete genome.